ensembl:lncRNA
CCAGGGUAUAUUUAUUUAUUAUUAUUUUGUUAAUACAAUAAUUUACAAUACAACAAUUUAAAAACCUAAAUUUUAUUUUGAAUGUAUUAAAUGUAAAAACAUUUAUGCAUUUAGCAAAUGCUUUUAUCCUCUUCCAAUAGAGACCUCUCUUCCAAUAAUGACAUUGUAUUAUGUUAAUGAAUUUGUGAGGAAAAUGUUCAUUUUCAAAUGAUUGUCACAAUGCAAUAAAAUAAUUUCAUGUGUAUUUAUCUCACAUGCACUCAUUAAGGAUUCAGUCGUUAUGUGCAGUAAUUGAGUCAUUUGCAGUAAUCAGUGGUUCCCCUUUUUAAAGUGAUUCUGCAGUCAGUAAUUGACUGAUAGGAAAAGCGUGAUGGUUGAUAAACAAAAGGUCACUGUGUAAAACAUCCUCAGCACUGAUCGCAGCAAAAUGAAUUGAUUUUAUUCACUCACACAGGAAAUGGGAAGUUGAAGCUCGAUUAGGCAAUUUUUCCAGAAACAUUUGUGUUAUACUAGUUCAACGUCUCUUCAUUUGGAGGCGUGGCUACUGGAUAUUUAACCAUGAAAAAAAAUUUCAGAUUCCAUUACAAUACAGUGCAGCCCAAAUUAGAAGACUUGCCCAAAUACAGACAGACAGUGGGGUAAAACAAGGGUAAACAUUGGCAGUGUUUUUACAAGAUGGAGGAAUAUUGAUGGAGUUUCUUCCCGACAGGUAAGCUAAAACUCAACUUACUGCUAAUGUAUUGGGAAUGUAGAUUACUUUUACCUGUUGAGACAUGCCUUCACCUUUAUAGACCCAUAAGUGCUGUGUUAACUUUUGAGUUGAGAGAGAAACCGUGCUUUGUUUUUGUAGUUCCGCUUGCUAACACUAGUGGCGCACUAAACUGCCUAGCCUAGAUUUGAAAGACGAAGAUGUUUAAAGAAGAGGAAAAAAACUAUAUAAAAACUAAUUAGAGAUAAAAUAUUGAAUAUGAAAUCUUAAAGCAAUAAGGCAUGAGACUGUCAGUUUCACAGGUAAAAGUUCAAAGGUACGACAUGAAGCGAAACAUAGGUAAAUGGAUACAUUUUUUUUUUUUUUUAAUAAUCAUAAGAAUAUUUAGUCUGAACUAUCCAUGUCAUUAUAUACUAUUUCAUAAAUUAUAAAAUACAAUAAUAUAAUAAAUUAGAUAUAUCGAUUUUUUUUUUUUUUUUUCAGUACGUACAGAUCUCACUGGCUGUUGUCAGACAAAAAUCUCACUGGAUUAUUACAAUUAAUGGCAAAAUUAAUGUUUGGAAAUAUAAGCUGAUAUUUCCUACUGACACACUACAGCAAAAGAUAGAAAUAACUGACUUUUUUUUGGUGAAAAUACCAGUGUUCUAAUCAUUUUGGCCACCACUGUAUAUUAAUAUAUGAAAUGUAAAAAAAUAUUUUUAUUAUAACUUAUAUGUUUAGAUAUUUUUAUAUUAUUUUUAUUGUUAUUGUAUAGUUCCUAUAUAAUAACAGUAGAUAAUAUAGUAUAUAUAUUUCUUUGGUUAUUUAUUUAUUAGGGCUGUACGAUUAAUCAAAUGUCUGAUCGUGAUUACAGUUACAGAUGUUACAAGUAUGUAAUUGUUCAAAGGUGCAAUUACAAAACAAAAAGUCAGUGUACAUUAUUCUGCAUGCUUAAGAUGUUUUUUUUUUUUUCUUUGUUUCUACAGGUUAUCUUAGGUUUUUUUCCCAUUGUUUUAAUAUUAGUUUUUGUAUAAUGUUAUAAUACCAUGCAUAUUUUUUUCUCUUUUUUUAUUAUUUAAAGUAGAAACCAAACCAAUGUAUAUUUGACAUGUGAGGCUUAAUGCCUUAGAAAAGCAAUACAAGUUUUUCAGAAGUGUUUUCAGCUUUGCACAGCUGUGUUUGCAGAUAAAACAUGGCAUGCCGUUGCUUCAAACAGUGGUAAAAAGCUCAUGAUUUAACGUAAAUGUUGAAAAUCAUAAUUAAUUAUCACAAUUACAAGUUCAAAUUUCAAGGGAAUAAUUGGUGCAGCCCUUAUAUAUAUAUAUAUAUAUAUAUAUAUAUAUAUAUAUAUAUAUAUAUAUAUAUACUCUAUGUGUGUGUAUUGCAAUCGAGACAAGACGUAAUAAAAGCAUGAAUAAGCUUCUCUGUGUCCUUAAACCUUAAAAAGUGUCUCACUUUGGAAAUAUUUCUUAACUGAUAAAAACAUGUCUGAAUAAAUUUCUUAACAUGAUGUUCAAAUUGGUGUCAAAUUAAACAACCAAAUACUUAUGCCACUUGUUACAUUUGAGUGCAAAUGAUUUUGUGAGAGUGUAAAAAAAUUUAAAUCAGUCUGACAAAACGAUCUCUAAUACAGUUUAGUGUCAUUAUGCAUGAUGAUGAUACAAGAAGUCGAUCUGUGAUGUUUUUAGACAGUCCGUGUGAACUGUAAUCGUUUUUGUGUAUUAAAGCGGCACUCAGUUCUGUCGCUCCAUUCUGAUGUUUCCAGAAGAAAAACUGCAGCAAUCUGUAAUGACUGUCAUUCCAGACUUCAAACAGGAGCAGAGCAGCAAUCCGACUAACUGUUCCCUUUCCACCUCGAUAGCGAGAGGGAAGAUAAAAGGAAGCGGGCAGACGAGAGGAAUGCAUUUCAUGCUUUUCUGAUCAGAUGAGUGUGUGUCAGUAGAGCACAGUACUUCACUUUCUCAGGUAAAACCCCAUUCAUUGUACUCCAGAGAGACUAAGAGUAAUGUAUAAAGCUUUCAAGACAGACGUACCAUGAGGUUUUCAGUGAUGAUAUAUGCUUCUGUAGAUGCCACAAUACUACCCAUAAUCCUCAAGUGAGAACCACCAAUCAGAAAAGUUGUUUUGGCAAAAAAGAGUUUGGCAAUUGCAUUCACUUUAAGCAUAUACAC